rnacentral:rRNA from 1 species
GAUGAACGCUGGCGGCGUGCUUAACACAUGCAAGUCGAACGGUGAAGCAGGAGCUUGCUCCUGUGGAUCAGUGGCGAACGGGUGAGUAACACGUGAGCAAUCUGCCCUGGACUCUGGGAUAAGCGUUGGAAACGACGUCUAAUACCGGAUACGAGGCGUGGGGGCAUCCCCAACGCCUGGAAAGAAUUUCGGUCCAGGAUGAGCUCGCGGCCUAUCAGGUAGUUGGUGAGGUAACGGCUCACCAAGCCGACGACGGGUAGCCGGCCUGAGAGGGUGACCGGCCACACUGGGACUGAGACACGGCCCAGACUCCUACGGGAGGCAGCAGUGGGGAAUAUUGCACAUUGGGCGCAAGCCUGAUGCAGCAACGCCGCGUGAGGGACGACGGCCUUCGGGUUGUAAACCUCUUUUAGCAGGGAAGAAGCGAAAGUGACGGUACCUGCAGAAAAAGCACCGGCUAACUACGUGCCAGCCGCCGCAGUAAUAC